AACGAACGCUGGCGGCAGGCCUAACACAUGCAAGUCGAGCGAGGACUUCGUUCCUAUCGGCGGACGGGUGGGUACCGCGUGGGAACGUGCCCGUUGCUUCGGUAUAGCCCUCUGAAACUGGGCUUAAUACCGGAUGAGCCCUUUGGGGGUAGGAUGUCUCGGCGCAGGGUCGGCGCGGGUUAGAUUAGGUGGUUGGGGGUGUAAUGGCAUACCAAGCACACGAUGCAGAGCUGGUUGGGGAAGAUGACCAGGCACGCUGGGGAUGAGACACGGCCCAGACUCGUACGGGAGGGAGCAGUGGGGAAUCUUAGACAAUGGAGGAAACCCUGAUAUAGCCAUGCGGGGUGAGCGAUGAAGGCCUUAGGGUUGCAAAGCUGUUUGAGCUGAGAAGAUAAUGACGGUACCAGCAGAAGAAGCCCCGGCUAACUCCGUG
rnacentral:rRNA from 1 species